UACAGAGGGUGCGAGCGUUAAUCGGAGUUACUGGGCGUAAAGAGCACGUAGGCGGUUGGCUAAGUCGGAUGUGAAAGUCCCGGGCUUAACCUGGGGAUGGCAUACGAUACUGGUGAGCUAGAGUAUUGUAGAGGGUAGUGGAAUUUCCGGAGUAGCGGUGAAAUGCGUAGAUAUCGGAAAGAACACCAGUGGCGAAGGCGGCUACCUGGACAAAUACUGACGCUGAGGUGCGAAAGCGUGGGGAGCAAACAGG
rnacentral:rRNA from 1 species